rnacentral:lncRNA from 1 species
CCAUGGAACGAUCAAGGAGGGUGACUUAGGAGGAACUGGUCGACGGCAGAUCUCUUUAAUAUUAGAGAUAUCCCCAUGUGCGGGAUGCUAUACUGAACGACCAUGAUACAUGGCACCAUGGAGCUCGACCUAACAAAACCGCACUCCUGCAAGAUAAGAUGGUUGUCGUUGUCCUUUUGCAGCCUAUUCUUUCGCUUCCUCCAUUACAUUGGCUUCCUGGAGUCAGUAUCAAGUGAUGGCUUCCCAGUCUCGGGCUACAAACUUCCCCAAUCGGCCACCCUUUGAAAUUUAGUGGUUGGAGGUGGCCUGGUGUUUCACUGGAACAACAUACUGUUCACCAACUCAUCUUUAUAUCAUUACAAAAGUUUCCUUCCCGAUAUCUCCUAUUCUCAAACUGCCUACUCCUCUCUUUU